UAAAUAAAAAAACCCAGACCCCCCAAAAAAACCAAAACCAACAAAAUUAGAUUUUAAUCUUUAUUAGGCAACACUCAAACGCCUCAAUUUCUACCAAAAUAAUCUUUUCUUCCUUAAAACAGAACCUUUAUAAUUCUCAGAUAUGAUGUACCAACGAUUUAUUGAACUUUCACUGCCAUGUAUUUUUGUGGAAGUACUGUGACCAUCUUCAAGUUUGGAGAUGACACUGCUAUGGCCUUACUCUAUGAAUUUAUUUAUAAAGAUUAAUAACACCAAUAAUGCUUUUAAAAAUGUAUUCUAAGUUUUAAUCUCAAUUAUUAUUAAUGAAAACACAAAAAUAAAAACAUGAAAGAAAAAGGCCAUUUUCAAUUUUCUAAAAAGAACAUGAAUUUUAAUAAGAUAAUAAAAAAGUCAAGUUUACUUUUCUGUUUGCUUUUAAAUUCUAUAUAUAGUUUUAUCUUUUCUAAUCUAACUGCAGUCAAUCUAUAUGCUAUUCUGAUUUAAUUUUUUUUCAGCAUGUAUUAAUUCAUAUAAGUUAUCCUUUUAUUUCUUUGUAUUUGUCAUUUCCUUUUUUCUUUUUUUGGCCCAGACCUAUAAUUUCAUUGCUACUGUAGGGAACUCCCAUUGAAGAAACUCCCUCCACCAAUAUAAAUCAGCAACUGUUUGGAAGCUAAUUUAGUGAAAUGUCUUAUCAUUGAGAAAUUAAAUGAUUCUCAGGGUUGCUUAGUGUAUACGAGAAAUAGUACUUCUGAACCCAGAUUUUUCUACCUCUAAGACCAGCUUUCUAGUCACUAAUUCCUUAUCAUUUCUUAUAGUACAAUAAUAUUCCAUUACAUCCACAGACCAAAAUUUGUUUAAGAUUGUCAUAAGGUAUUAACUUUAUGCUUUGCCUUUUCUGUCUUUCUCAUUCUUAUAGUGACCAAAUUUUCAUACGCCCUUAUCUCUAUUUUUUUGUCUAGGUUAAUAACCCCAUUUGUCUCUCUCUCCUUUCCCAAUCCUAUAUACAGCUGUCAGUGUAAUCCUUCUAUUGCACAGAUCGGAUCACAUUAUGUCAUUGCUCAAAAACUCUGGAUGGCUUUUUACUGUUGAAUUUUAUAAGACAUGCUCUAAGCCUCUCAGUAUUAAAUCAAAUCCAUGUUGGAGAUACACAAUUUUGAGGAUGUUAAAGAUCUAUGGGCUCCAGUGGAACUGACAAAGCAUCAAGAGAUCCAAAGAAAAUACACUGGAUGGUCCCUUGUGAAAGACCUGCAGAACAUGCAAAGAAUGAAGGUGUCUGAACCAGAACUUGAACUCAGCUCCUGAUUCCAAACCCCGGGUCCGAAUUUCUAAAAACACUUUAUAAGUCAACAAGGCACUUUCUUCACAGCCAUCCUGCUGAGGGCAGCAGCGCCUGCUGGUGACAUCAUUCCUGUUUGACAGGUUCAGCUCAAGGACCAUCUCCUCCACCAGACCUUUCUUAAUCUCUUCACACGCAACCGAAAACGCUUUCUCUCUCUUGCAGUGUUUGUGGAGGUUUUUGUUUGUCCAGCUCCUCUGCCCCCAGUACUGUCAUACUGCAUAAAAGUACCUCCUGAUAGAAUAGUAUAUAAGAGCCAACAAGGACUCGGAGACAGAUUUGGAGAAGACAGAGGACUGGAGGCUGGAGCUCAAGGUCUCAGAGCCAAGGAGAGACAUUCAUUCCAUCUCCCACCAUCAUGGUGUCUGGCCUGUCCUUCUUCAUUUCUCCACUGAGACCAAGGUCUGUCUGAAGGGCCUCCAGAAAGCUAGCCUGGGCCCAAGGCAAGGAGACAGACUGUGAAGGAGACAAUAAAGACAUUUGGACUUUAUCCCUGACUAUUUUCGUGGUGAUUACUCAGCUGAAAUGAAGGCUGGUCCAGAGACCUUCAGAAAACCAACCAGAACACUAUAAUGACUGAAUAAAAAAAUAAUAAUAAUUCUCAGGGGAAGUAGUCUUCCAAAAUCUUCACUUAUGAUUUUAUAAUAUCACAAUUUCUUCACAUUUCUGGUUAUUACAUAUAGUAUCUGUUCAAAAUAAAAGGACCUUACAGUAGCACUGUAUUUGUACCUUUUAAUCACAAUCUCAGAAACAGGUACAAAGAGGAAUUAUUUCCCCUCCAGGGAAGUAGUCUUCCAAAAUCUUCACUUAUGAUUUUAUAAUAUCACAAUUUCUUCACAUUUCUGGUUAUUACAUAUAGUAUCUGUUCAAAA